AUUGAACGCUGGCGGCAGGCCUAACACAUGCAAGUCGAACGAGUGGCGGACGGGUGAGUAAUGUCUGGGAAACUGCCCGAUGGAGGGGGAUAACUACUGGAAACGGUAGCUAAUACCGCAUACCAUCGGAUGUGCCCAGAUGGGAUUAGCUAGUAGGUGGGGUAACGGCUCACCUAGGCGACGAUCCAUAGCUGGUCUUAGAGGGUGACCAGCCACACUGGGACGGAGACACGGUCCAGACUCCUACGGGAGGCAGCAGUAGGGAAUAUUGCGCAAUGGGCGAAAGCCUGAUAGAGCCAUGCCGCGUGUAUGAAGAAGGCCUUCGGGUUGUAAAGUACUUUUAGCGAGGAGGCGGUACUCGAAGAAGAAGCACCGGCUAACUCCGUGCCAGCAGCCGCGGUAAUUC
rnacentral:rRNA from 1 species